rnacentral:rRNA from 1 species
GACGACGCUGGCGGCGUGGAUUAGGCAUGCAAGUCGAACGGUAGGAUACCUUCGGGUAUCUGAGAGUGGCGAACGGGUGAGUAACACGUAGGUGAUCUACCCUCAAGAUUGGGACAACCCAGGGGAAACUUGGGCUAAUACCGGAUGAAAGCAGCAGUGAUGUUGUUUGAAAGGUGGCGUAAGCUGCCGUUUGGGGAUGAGCCUGCGCUCUAUUAGUUAGUUGGCGGGGUAAAGGCCCACCAAGGCGAUGAUAGAUAGGCGGCCUUAACGGGUGGUCGCCCACACUGGGAUUGAGAUACGGCCCAGACUCCUACGGGAGGCAGCAGUCGAGAAUAGUCUACAAUGGCCGAAAGGCUGAUAGUGCGACGCCGCGUGAACGAAGAAGCCCUUCGGGGUGUAAAGUUCUUUUAUAUGUGAGCAGUGCUUUCUAUGUGAACAGCAUGGGGAGAGAGAUAUUAGCAUAUGAAUAAGCAACGGCUAACUCCGUG